GGGGCGUGCCUACACAUGCAAGUCGAACGGAGUUUGUUUCGUAGGAAGUUUUUUCGGGAUGGAAUUGGGAGACUUAGUGGCGGACGGGUGAGUAACGCGUGGGAAACCUGCCCUGUACUGGGGGAUAACACUUAGAAAUAGGUGCUAAAACCGCAUAAGCGCACGGGACCGCAUGGUCCUGUGUGAAAAAACUCCGGUGGUACAGGAUGGUCCCGCGUCUGAUUAGCCAGUUGGCAGGGUAACGGCCUACCAAAGCGACGAUCAGUAGCCGGCCUGAGAGGGUGAACGGCCACAUUGGGACUGAGACACGGCCCAAACUCCUACGGGAGGCAGCAGUGGGGAAUAUUGCACAAUGGGGGAAACCCUGAUGCAGCGACGCCGCGUGAGUGAAGAAGUAUUUCGGUAUGUAAAGCUCUAUCAGCAGGGAAGAAGAUGACGGUACCUGAGUAAGAAGCCCCGGCUAACUACGUGCCAGCAGCCGCGGUAA
rnacentral:rRNA from 1 species